GGUCAGCGACUUAUAUUCUGUAGCAAGGUUAACCGAAUAGGGGAGCCGUAGGGAAACCGAGUCUUAACCGGGCGUUAAGUUGCAGGGUAUAGACCCGAAACCCGGUGAUCUAGCCAUGGGCAGGUUGAAGGUUGGGUAACACUAACUGGAGGACCGAACCGACUAAUGUUGAAAAAUUAGCGGAUGACCUGUGGCUGGGGGUGAAAGGCCAAUCAAACCGGGAGAUAGCUGGUUCUCCCCGAAAGCUAUUUAGGUAGCGCCUCGUGAAUUCAUCUCCGGGGGUAGAGCACUGUUUCGGCUAGGGGGCCAUCCCGGCUUACCAACCCGAUGCAAACUGCGAAUACCGGAGAAUGUUAUCACGGGAGACACACGGCGGGUGCUAACGUCCGUCGUGAAGAGGGAAACAACCCAGACCGCCAGCUAAGGUCCCAAAGUCAUGGUUAAGUGGGAAACGAUGUGGGAAGGCCCAGACAGCCAGGAUGUUGGCUUAGAAGCAGCCAUCAUUUAAAGAAAGCGUAAUAGCUCACUGGUCGAGUCGGCCUGCGCGGAAGAUGUAACGGGGCUAAACCAUGCACCGAAGCUGCGGCAGCGACACUCAGGUGUUGUUGGGUAGGGGAGCGUUCUGUAAGCCUGUGAAGGUGGCCUGUGAGGGUUGCUGGAGGUAUCAGAAGUGCGAAUGCUGACAUAAGUAACGAUAAAGCGGGUGAAAAGCCCGCUCGCCGGAAGACCAAGGGUUCCUGUCCAACGUUAAUCGGGGCAGGGUGAGUCGACCCCUAAGGCGAGGCCGAAAGGCGUAGUCGAUGGGAAACGGGUUAAUAUUCCCGUACUUGGUGUUACUGCGAAGGGGGGACGGAGAAGGCUAUGUUGGCCGGGCGACGGUUGUCCCGGUUUAAGCGUGUAGGUGUGUGUUCCAGGUAAAUCCGGUUCACUUUAACACUGAGGCGUGAUGACGAGGCACUACGGUGCUGAAGCAACAAAUGCCCUGCUUCCAGGAAAAGCCUCUAAGCAUCAGGUAACAUCAAAUCGUACCCCAAACCGACACAGGUGGUCAGGUAGAGAAUACCAAGGCGCUUGAGAGAACUCGGGUGAAGGAACUAGGCAAAAUGGUGCCGUAACUUCGGGAGAAGGCACGCUGACAC
rnacentral:rRNA from 1 species